rnacentral:rRNA from 1 species
UAAGGAAUAUUGGCAAUGGACGCAAGUCUGAACCAGCCAUGCCGCGUGCAGGAAGACGGCCCUAUGGGUUGUAAACUGCUUUUGUACGGGAAGAACUACAUUUACGUGUAAAUGUUUGACGGUACCGUAAGAAUAAGGAUCGGCUAACUCCGUGCCAGCAGCCGCGGUAAUACGGAGGAUCCGAGCGUUAUCCGGAUUUAUUGGGUUUAAAGGGUGCGCAGGCGGGUAUAUAAGUCAGAGGUGAAAUUCCACGGCUCAACUGUGGGACUGCCUUUGAUACUGCAUAUCUAGAGUAUAUUUGGAGUGGGCGGAAUGUAGCAUGUAGCGGUGAAAUGCUUAGAUAUGCUACAGAACACCGAUCGUGAAGACAGCUCACUAAACUAUAACUGACGCUCAGGCACGAAAGCGUGGGGAGCAAACAGGAUUAGAUACCCUGGUAGUCCACGCCGUAAACGAUGAUUACUCGCUGUUGGCGAUACACAGUCAGCGGCUAAGCGAAAGUGAUAAGUAAUCCACCUGGGGAGUACGAUCGCAAGAUUGAAACUCAUG